rnacentral:rRNA from 1 species
UACGAAGGGGGCUAGCGUUGUUCGGAUUUACUGGGCGUAAAGCGCACGUAGGCGGAUUGUUAAGUCGGGGGUGAAAUCCUGGAGCUCAACUCCAGAAUUGCCUUCGAUACUGGCUUUCUAGAGGCUGGAAGAGGUUAGUGGAAUUCCCAGUGUAGAGGUGAAAUUCGUAGAUAUUGGGAAGAACACCAGUGGCGAAGGCGGCCUUCUGGACCAAUACUGACGCUCAUGCACGAAAGCGUGGGGAGCAAACAGG